rnacentral:rRNA from 1 species
AUUGAACGCUGGCGGCAUGCCUUACACAUGCAAGUCGAACGGUAACGGGCCUUCGGGUGCCGACGAGUGGCGAACGGGUGAGUAAUACAUCGGAACGUGCCCGAUCGUGGGGGUUAACGAGGCGAAAGCUUUGCUAAUACCGCAUACGAUCUACGGAUGAAAGCAGGGGACCGCAAGGCCUUGCGCGGACGGAGCGGCCGAUGGCAGAUUAGGUAGUUGGUGGGAUAAAAGCUUACCAAGCCGACGAUCUGUAGCUGGUCUGAGAGGAUGAUCAGUCACACUGGAACUGAGACACGGCCCGGACUCCUACGGGAGGCAGCAGUGGGGAAUUUUGGACAAUGGGCGCAAGCCUGAUCCAGCCAUGCCGCGUGCAGGAUGAAGGCCUUCGGGUUGUAAACUGCUUUUGUACGGAACGAAAAGCCUUCUUUUAAUACAGGGGGGUCAUGACGGUACCGUAAGAAUAAGCACCGGCUAACUACGUG